UUGUUGGGUAGGGGAGCGUUCUGUAAGCCUGUGAAGGUGGCCUGUGAGGGUUGCUGGAGGUAUCAGAAGUGCGAAUGCUGACAUAAGUAACGAUAAAGCGGGUGAAAAGCCCGCUCGCCGGAAGACCAAGGGUUCCUGUCCAACGUUAAUCGGGGCAGGGUGAGUCGACCCCUAAGGCGAGGCCGAAAGGCGUAGUCGAUGGGAAACGGGUUAAUAUUCCCGUACUUGGUGUUACUGCGAAGGGGGGACGGAGAAGGCUAUGUUGGCCGGGCGACGGUUGUCCCGGUUUAAGCGUGUAGGUGUGUGUUCCAGGUAAAUCCGGUUCACUUUAACACUGAGGCGUGAUGACGAGGCACUACGGUGCUGAAGCAACAAAUGCCCUGCUUCCAGGAAAAGCCUCUAAGCAUCAGGUAACAUCAAAUCGUACCCCAAACCGACACAGGUGGUCAGGUAGAGAAUACCAAGGCGCUUGAGAGAACUCGGGUGAAGGAACUAGGCAAAAUGGUGCCGUAACUUCGGGAGAAGGCACGCUGACAC
rnacentral:rRNA from 1 species